UACGGGGGGGGCAAGCGUUGUUCGGAAUUACUGGGCGUAAAGGGCUCGUAGGCGGCCAACUAAGUCGGAUGUGAAAUCCCCAGGCUUAACCUGGGAACUGCAUCCGAUACUGGAUGGCUUGAAUCCGGGAGAGGGAUGCGGAAUUCCAGGUGUAGCGGUGAAAUGCGUAGAUAUCCGGAGGAACACCAGUGGCGAAAGCGGCCACCUGGACUGUACCUGACGCUCGAACGCGAAAGCUAGGGGAGCGAACGGG
rnacentral:rRNA from 1 species